CCUACGGGUGGCAGCAGUGGGGAAUAUUGGACAAUGGGCGAAAGCCUGAUCCAGCCAUGCCGCGUGUGUGAAGAAGGCCUUCGGGUUGUAAAGCACUUUCAGUGGGGAAGAAAGCCUUGGGGCUAAUACCCUCGAGGAAGGACAUCACCCACAGAAGAAGCACCGGCCAACUCCGUGCCAGCAGCCGCGGUAAUACGGAGGGUGCGAGCGUUAAUCGGAAUUACUGGGCGUAAAGCGCGCGUAGGCGGUCUGAUAAGCCGGUUGUGAAAGCCCCGGGCUCAACCUGGGAACGGCAUCCGGAACUGUCAGGCUAGAGUGCAGGAGAGGAAGGUAGAAUUCCCGGUGUAGCGGUGAAAUGCGUAGAGAUCGGGAGGAAUACCAGAGGCGAAGGCGGCCUUCUGGACUGACACUGACGCUGAGGUGCGAAAGCGUGGGUAGCAAACAGGAUUAGAUACCCCAGUAGUC
rnacentral:rRNA from 1 species